rnacentral:rRNA from 1 species
AUUGAACGCUGGCGGCAGGCCUAACACAUGCAAGUCGAACGAGUGGCGGACGGGUGAGUAAUGUGUGGGAAACUGUCGGAGGGAGGGGGAAAACGACUGGAAACGGUAGCUUAUACCACAAACUAUCGAAUGUGCCCAGAUGGGAUUGGCUAGGAGGUGGGGUAACGGCUCACCUAGGCGACGCUCCCUAGCUGGUCUGAGAGGAUGACCAGCCACAGUGGAACUGAGACCCGGUCCAGACUCCUACGGGAGGCAGCAGUGGGGAGUAUUGCACAAUGGGCGCAAGCCUGAUGCAGCCAUGCCGCGUGUAUGAAGAAGGCCUUCGGGUUGUAAAGGACUUUCAGCGGGGAGGCGUUACCCGCAGAAGAAGCACCGGCUAACUCCGUGCCAGCAGCCGCGGUAAUUC